UGAUCUCUGCAUGUUUAAUCUAAUAAACGUACCUUUAGGUUGCAUUGCUUGGGAAUAGUCUAGGUGUAGAGCACUUCCUGCCUAGCGUACAAAGUAAGAAAGAGUAAUAGGUUGUGUUCAAGCGUAUCGAGCCAAUCUGAGCAUCUUCAACUAAGUUAAUUGGUGAUAAAUUGGACAAAGUGUGUUGUGUGUGAUUGUUAGGGGUGGAUGCUUCCUUCCUAGCUAGUUUCAUUAUCUUGAUAUCAAUCAACUUUAAAUCUGCUUCAGUUUUGUUUUCUUUCUGUUCUCUGUUUUUCUGUAUUUUAUUUCCAUAGUAAAUCAACUCCAAAAUUCACCAAAUUUUGUGUGCUAGACUCUUUACGUGUCUAGUAUACUUCUGUAAAUUUUCGUAUUUUUAUGGGUUGUUUUAGUUAGGUUUUUAGUUUGUUUUUCAACUGCGGUUCAGUAGGAGCUGCAGUCACGUUUUGUGACUUUUGUUGAAGCCUUUAGUUUAACUUAAUCCUCUGUGGGAGACCCUUAUUUCCCUAUAUUACAAUUGCCAUAUUUGCAGGAGAAUAAGGAAAAUCAAUAGCUUCUAAGAGAGUUAUCACCCCUCACCCGGCCCAGGCCGGUAUCGUAAUCCGCGAACCCCAUCCAGAGAGGAGUGCGCCAUGCUCUAGCCGCCGUGCAAUUAGCGCUUCCUCGGCCGUCGGCCAGUCUAGAAAGUAGAAAGCGGUGCUCGCAGAGCCUGAAGCUGAAGAUUCUUCCUUUGACGACGAUGAUCCGCAGACUGUCGCAGCUGCUCUGGCUCGCAAGCACAACCGCUCGGAUCCUCGCACUGACCCAUGGGAAGAGGAUGAGCCACUCGCUGAUCGACUGGUUCGUCGCCGGUCCUCCGGACAUGCCGGGGAAGGCUCUUCGGCUGCUGGUGAAGGAACAACCGCCCGCAGGCUCAAACGCCCACAGAUUCUAGUAAUCUACCAACUCCCGCCAACACCGCGAGCGAUGUGUAUUUGGCUUCGAUUCCGGUGCAGGUCAUAGACGACAGUUCACCCGAGCGGGAAGAAGGGAUAGCCCCCCCAGAGGCACCAUCUGAGGAGCCGAUCGCUGCACAACCCUAAGCGCAGGUAGCGCUUGAUUCCAUUCCCAACGAGGCAGCUCAAGAGCCCGCACCGAUAACCGUCCCGCAAGAGCUCCCGGUCGCAGAGAGUUCUGGUCCUGCUGAGGAAGUCGCUGCUGCUGUGGAGGUACCUGCCGCUGACCCCAUUGAUCCAGUUAGCGAGGAUAUGGUGAUUCUAGAGUCUGCCCC